UACGUAGGGUGCAAGCGUUGUCCGGAAUUAUUGGGCGUAAAGAGCUCGUAGGUGGCCUGUCGCGUCGGCUGUGAAAACUCGGGGCUCAACUCCGAGCUUGCAGUCGAUACGGGCAGGCUAGAGUUCGGCAGGGGAGACUGGAAUUCCUGGUGUAGCGGUGAAAUGCGCAGAUAUCAGGAGGAACACCGGUGGCGAAGGCGGGUCUCUGGGCCGAUACUGACACUGAGACGCGAAAGCGUGGGGAGCGAACAGG
rnacentral:rRNA from 1 species